CGCUGGUAGCGUUCCUCACAUCCGUUCCCCGGAAUGGAAUAACAUGAUACCAAUUGUUACAAAUGGUAACUACGCUGAUGAUCCUGAAGGCAUAGUGGAAUUCAUCGAAAGCGAUGGUGAUUUUCAGCAAUGGCACGAAGCUACACGGUGCAGAGAAUAUGGUAGCAACAUUGAGUAUCAACAGGAAGUAUUGGAUGAGCAUGCAGGAGAAGAUGACGUAGACUUGUGUGCCGCAGUAGGAUCUAGUCCGUCUGAAGAAUACCAAGGAGUAGAAUAUAUUGAUGACGAUCACGAUUCCAUCAAGUGGAAAAACUCUAUGAUGGAACCAUGUCAAAUCAUACCCUAUGAAUGCGCAUCUCGUGAUAACAGUUCCCCGGAAAGGAAUACCGCGAUGCAGCUUCAUGCUAACAUUAACUACGUUGAUGAUCCCCAUGGAGUGGUGGAAUUUAUUGAAAGCGAUGAAGACUUUUGGGAAUGGCAGAAAGCUGCCCGUAAAACCAAAAACAACAGCCAACUUGAUUGUCAACCUGAAACUUUUGCAGAACCUACAGAAGAAACCAACGGAGACUUGUGUAGUACUGAUCAAAGCCACAGAGAGGCAGCGCAUACUAAAUUCCUUAUAGAGUUUUCGAUUGAAGAAACUGGUGUAGUUUUCUGCACUGAAAUUGCACUUUUCUUGCAGAAGUGUUGUCAAAACACCGACACCAUGUUCCAUUGAUUGGAACUGCAAUAAAAAAGUGCAAUUCCAGUGCAAUUUCGGGGCAGAGAUUUGGCACCGAAAAUUUUGUCGGUGGAGCCAGUGCACGCACUAACACCAAUAGCGGAAACGUCAAAACCACGAUUAAAACAACACAAAAUGGAAAAGAAAAAAAAUCGAAAAUCAGCGACCGGACAAUCGGUAGCGAUUGAACUACGUUAACUGCGGUGUUUUAAUGAGCAAGAAACAUGUUGGCUCACUGGCACAAUUGUACGAGAAUGCAUCUAAUAAUACAGAAAGUUAUCACGACAGCCGAACUAAAAAAUAUUGCUUAUGUUGACCUGCUGUAAAUGAUGGCAACGAGUAUCAUACCAGUCAGGUGAAAAUUGAGGUGAAUCGGUUUAUUACGUGACCAGCCAGCGUCGUGAAGACCCAAAUUUGUCCGAAUGCCGACCCACAUUAUGCUAGAUGGAAAUAUACCUUCGCAAGCAAACCGAUUCAAAUCUAAUGCACACGGGAAAAGUGGAUAUACAAUCGGUUAAAAAUUCGAGGCACAGGUUUUAAUGAAGUCCACUCCAUUAAAUUAAGAAACUAUAGUAAGUCCUUUGCGGUUGGAGCUCGAACAUACGUACAUACGGCACGGCACCGCCCCGGACAAGUGUCAAUGCCUGCUGAAUUGGUGUCCGUGCACGGAGCUGAACCGGCACUGAAACGGAUCGGAUAGGUGUAAAUAGUGCUUUAUUCUCCCAUAUAUUUUACGUGUACGCAUUCAUAUCUAUCCGGCGCAGUACCUGUGUCGGAAAGUGUGGAUACGUACAGAUGAAGUAUAUGGGUAUAGUGCUGGGUAUUCCGAUGGGGGCCAAAUAUUGAACUCACGCUUAAUAAAAAUCCAAAGAGUAUUAUAUUUUCGGAAAAGUUUUUGAAGAAGUCAAGAACUAUUUUAAGAUCGACGGAUUAAUUGUGAAUUCUAUUAGAAUAUUAAGAAUUCUAUUAGCAAGCAAUAUUUUAAAAUCUUGACUGCCUUCUUCUUCUUCUAGUUCUGGUUAUUUUUCGUCGGUCUAUUUCCGCUACGAGGCCAAAUACCGACGCCAGAAAGGUGACGACUCCCAUCUGGACUAGAUAUCAUCCAUCAACUUAUGGACCGGGGACCAACAGCAUUACUUCCCUUCCGAAGGAAGGCGUAACCUUCAGAUUUUUCUCACCUCAGAAAACUCAACGACCUCGACUGGGAUUGAACCCAGACCAAGUGGGGUGAGUGGCGGUCACGUCUACCACCCACCCAACCAUCGGCGCCGUCAUCCUGAAUGUCAAAUUCAUGAUUGUAUAAAAAAUGAGGGUUAUUGAAAUGAGCUCACAGGACGGCGCAUGUAUUUUGUAGAACUCCUAUGUAUCAAUUUAGAAGUAUAGUGUCUUCGACAAAGCUCUUGAGCACGUCGAGGGCUACCGGUGGUAAACUAAUUAAUUUUGAAUUCGUUCACUAACAAUAUUGAAAUUUUCAGUACAUGUUAGAGCAUGCUUUAUCUCACAAUCCUGAGUACAUGGUGGUUUAGACGAAUAGUAUCUCAAACAAAGUUCUUGAUUAGAUUAAUUUUGGACUCAGGCGCUAGCUGGCGUAUGAAAUCUUUUAAAUUCCUAUUUCUCAAGAUCAUGGUUGUUCAAAAAAGCGGUUUCAUGAACAAAAUUCAGAACGAGAUACAGAAUUUUCUGACUAGUAAUUUACUUUUUCAUCCGAAGUUCCAUUAC